rnacentral:rRNA from 1 species
CCUACGGGGGGCAGCAGUGGGGAAUAUUGGACAAUGGGCGAAAGCCUGAUCCAGCAAUGCCGCGUGAGUGAUGAAGGCCUUAGGGUUGUAAAGCUCUUUUACCAGGGAUGAUAAUGACAGUACCUGGAGAAUAAGCUCCGGCUAACUCCGUGCCAGCAGCCGCGGUAAUACGGAGGGAGCUAGCGUUGUUCGGAAUUACUGGGCGUAAAGAGUACGUAGGCGGUGAUUCAAGUCAGAGGUGAAAGCCUGGAGCUCAACUCCAGAACUGCCUUUGAAACUAGAUCGCUAGAAUUAUGGAGAGGUUAGUGGAAUUCCGAGUGUAGAGGUGAAAUUCGUAGAUAUUCGGAAGAACACCAGUGGCGAAGGCGACUAACUGGACAUAUAUUGACGCUGAGGUACGAAAGCGUGGGGAGCAAACAGGAUUAGAUACCCUGGUAGUC